AGAUGUCUCACAAUCUUCUAUCUGCAUCACUACAAGGUGAUCUGCAGAGGAUCGCUGCACUUGUGAAGAGUGGAGCUGACGUCAACUACUGUGACCAGCACGGCGACACUCCGUUGCACAGUGCCGCCCGAAGAGGUACAAUCGAUGUGUGUCGAGCGCUGCUCUCUGCAGGGGCAGACUAUAACAGUAGAAAUGAGACCAAGCCAUCAUGCACCACAGGAUCCAAGAACACCGACAAAAAUCACCCCACCUGACCCACAUUGCAGCCAAGUCCACAUGUGACCCCAUCGAAACCAGCCAUCUUGAAGGUACCGACGUCUGCAUCAACCGUCACAUCUGAAGCGUCUGAGGAUUCACCUCUGUACAGCCAUAGCAUGUCAGCUGCAUCUUCAUCCGCUGACGAGUCAGGGGAUGAAGAAGACGAAGAUGAUGAUCUGGAUAGCAGAUACGAUUUUCACCUGGUGUCAACCACAUCCCUGAAUCGCCUUCUUAGCUUUUGCCCUGACUGUGGAGAUCCUGUUAUUCAUCAGACAAAGUCAAGGUGUGGUACCAUGGUCACUGUCCACUUGACCUGUAAACGCAGAUGUCCCGUUACUUGGCGUUCACAAGAGGCGUUCCCACCCAAACAACCAAUCGGCAACAUCCGUGUAGUGGCUGCCAUUAUCUUCUGUGGUGGAUGCUUCGAGAAGUUCUCAGCAUUUGCCACCUUCUUGAAGUUGAACUCCAUCGGCUCCACUGCAUACUACAAGUACUAGAAAU